CACUCCUACGGGAGGCAGCAGUGGGGAAUUUUGGACAAUGGGCGAAAGCCUGUUCCAGCAAUGCCGCGUGAGUGAAGAAGGCCUUCGGGUUGUAAAGCUCCUUUGUCAGGGAAGAAACGGUGAAAGCUAAUAUCUUUUGCUAAUGACGGUACCUGAAGAAUAAGCACCGGCUAACUACGUGCCAGCAGCCGCGGUAAUACGUAGGGUGCAAGCGUUAAUCGGAAUUACUGGGCGUAAAGCGUGCGCAGGCGGUUUUGUAAGUCUGAUGUGAAAUCCCCGGGCUCAACCUGGGAAUUGCAUUGGAGACUGCAAGGCUAGAAUCUGGCAGAGGGGGGUAGAAUUCCACGUGUAGCAGUGAAAUGCGUAGAUAUGUGGAGGAACACCGAUGGCGAAGGCAGCCCCCUGGGUCAAGAUUGACGCUCAUGCACGAAAGCGUGGGGAGCAAACAGGAUUAGAUACCCCGGUAGUCCCAUG
rnacentral:rRNA from 1 species